UUGGACUCUAUCCGCGUGUUCGUUGAGCUGUAAAUGCCUUAACAUCAUGAUAGCGGAGAGGAGUAAAGCUGUAGGAUUGGCCAAAUCCUUCCCAGCGAUGUCCGGGGCCGUGCCGUGGACCUAUAAUUAAAUAGACUAACAUUAUUAGUUUCCUCGUCACCGUACGCCACACACCCCAAGCCAACUUGUCAUCUAGUACAGAUGUUUGAUGAUCUCGUUGGUGUACUCCGUGCAUGAGCUCUUUCCCCCGAGGUCCUCGGUGAGGACUCUCCCUUCCUUGAGGACGGUGAAGCAGGCUGUUUCUAUUCUGUCGGCGAUGUCUUCCAGCUUCAUGUAUCUCAGCAUCAUGACUCCGGACAGGAGGAGUGCUGUGGGAUUGGCCUUAUCCUGGCCGGCUAUGGCCGGGGCUGUGCCAUGAACCUGGAAUUGUUAGUACUAUUCAGAAGUUCCAUGUUCAAACCACAUGUGACGGAUCAGUAACGUGGACCAGGGAAGUGGAGAUGAACACAACACAGUACAUGCUACUAUAUAUACAUAUAUAUAUUGUGAAGCUAAAACACAUGAAUACAUAAUCAGGAAGCUCACACCUCUAGAUGAACUAUGAAUAGCAAAAUAAUAGUCAAUGAGAUGCUCUACCGUGGAGAUAUAUUGUUACUUUAGUUAUACGACAAACGAAAGUUAGAAAUUACAGUCAAUGGGCAGUGAUUAGAAACCGCUCCAGGUUACAGAUAGUUCAGAGAACAGAAGGAAGGAACCGAGCACGAACAGCAUCAGGGAGUACGCAUUGACCGACUUCAGAGAAGUAAUAUAAUGUGUCAUCACUGUGCGUGUAUGUCUUUAUGUGCCAGGCGUUCUCACAAACCGAUUGCCGAUUUUUAAGUAAUUUAUACUGUCAUUGAAGUCGGUCAAGGAGUACCUGUGUGUUAGCGCGGGGGCGUCAGGUUAGUUCACGAUCUGUAGUAGCGUAUACACAACUUACGUUUCUUCUCCAUAUCACAUAAUAAUCAUUUCGGUCACUGGCCUUUACAUUUUUUUUGUCUCAUUUCAACAAUAGAACAUUGUUCACGGAUAUAAUUCACUUUUGUAUGAAGUUUCUUUUUUUUUAUAGUGUAUUAGUUAACAUACAAAUUUAAAUAAUUAAGACUCUUGAAGCCACACGUAUGUCUAUUUUUAAAAACAUUACAAGUUCGUUUCUUUAUAAAUUCCUUUAAUAACGUUAAAAAUGUAUAUAUUCUGUGUGUACCCUACCAUUCAGAUGUAAUUGGAUCAAUUACUGAGCAUAAAAAAAAAUCAAAAUAAAUAUUUUUAAUCUACGCUAAAUGAAAAAGCAAUGGACUUAAAAAAAAUAUAUAAAAUAAUAGUCUAAUAGUUUGGAGCUCUAAUACACUACGGAAAUAAUUAGUUGCUUAUUAUAACGGUGUGUGUUGUGUGCCGCUCACCG